rnacentral:rRNA from 1 species
UACGUAGGGGGCAAACGUUGUCCGGAUUUACUGGGUGUAAAGGGUGCUCAGGCGGUCUUGUAAGUUAGAAGUGAAAUCCUAGGGCUCAACUCUGGAACUGCUUUUAAUACUGCAAGGCUUGAAUAUGGAAGAGGAGGGUGGAAUUUCUGGUGUAGCAGUGAAAUGCGUAGAUAUCAGAAAGAACACCAGUGGCGAAGGCGGCCCUCUGGUCCAUUAUUGACGCUAAAGCACGAAAGCGUGGGGAGCAAACAGGAUUAGAUACCCUUGUAGU